GGGCGUGGCGCGGGAGGCGCCGUUGGUUGGUGCACGGCUGAGGGCGCGGCGCUGGCGGCGCGGAUGUUUGGGCACGGCCGGCUGGGCCAGGCUAUGGCCCCGCUGCUGUUCCUGGGCAUGUCAGCGGCGCUGGCUCGUGGCUGCCUGCAGUGCGACCGCAAUUUCUCGGAGAAGUUCUCAUUCUACCGUCACCACGUGAACCUCAAGUCCUGGUGGGUGGGUGACAUCCCCGUGUCGGGGGUGCUGCUCUCCGAGUGGAGCCAGAACACGAUGAAGGAGCUCCAUCUGGCCAUCCCCGCCGAGAUCACCCGGAAGAAGCUAAAUCAAGUGGCAGAAGCCGUGUACCAGAGGAUGGACCAGCUGUACCAGGGGAAGAUGUACUUCCCAGGGUAUUUCCCUAAUGAGCUGCGGGCCAUCUUCCGGGAACAAGUUCGCCUCAUCCAGAACGCCAUCAUAGAGAGUGAGCAGUGGGCUUCACCGAGGGGAAUGCUUGUGGCCUCUGGCACUUCAGGGUUCAGGAAGGAGUGGCUCUGCAGGAGGCUCUUUUGCAUAAAUGGUUGCCUGCAUGCCCAUCACUCCUUAUUUCUGUCAAACUGGUCUCAUGGUGGUACCUGGGAACAUUGUAACUUCCCUUCUCUUAGGUUAGCCCUUUUCACUGGGGCCUCCCUGUGGUUCACUUCCUACGCCCAUGAAACUCACAUGCCUGUAAUUCCAGUACCCAGAAACAAGGGAACAAAGCAAAAGAAUUGCCACAGGUCUCUAGGCAGCCUAGGCUACCUCCUCUGUGUCUCGAUAUCCUUGGCUACAAAAACAGAAGUGGGGCUGAGGUGUUGAGCUCUGGGCCUUGUCAGAAGUCACUGUCUUGUUAUUUCCCUCCCCCCCCACACCCCCAGGCCGAAUCGACUGUCAGCGUCACUGUGGUAAGUGAACUAUGGUUCAGGCUGAGGGCCACAGUGGCAGUGGCCAGGCUAGGGAGGGCCCAGGGGAGUCUGGGGCUGCCUCUCAUAUAUUGCAGGCAUCUUCCAGUAUGAGACCAUCUCCUGCAGCAACUGCACAGACUCCCACGUCAUCUGCUUUGGCUACUACUGCAAGUCAUCGGCACAGUGGGAGUCA